UGAAAACAUUUUUAAAAACUACAAUUCUCAUGCGUUUUAGUGGUGAAAAAAAAAUUAAAAAAUCGUUCGGGAAAUGAGUUUACUCCCUGGGUACUUUCUUUGUAUACUUUCGACUAUACGGGCCGAGUCCGGGAUUUACGGGAAAUCGCGGAUUUUCGUUUGAGGGCGAUUAAACUUCUUUUAUUCAGCGUCUCAUCAAAAAUGAAAACGUUUUUAAAAACUACAAGUCUCAUGCGUUGAAUGGUGAAAAAAUAAUUUAAAAAAUCGUUCGGAAAAUGAGUUUACUCCCUGGGUACUUUCUUUGUAUACUUUCGACUAUACGGGCCGAGUCCGGGGUUUACGGGAAAUGGCGGGUUUUUGUUUGCCGGCAAUUAAACUUCUUUCAUUAAGGGUCUCAUCAAAAAUGAAAACAUUUUUAUAAACUACAAGUCUCAUGCGUUUUAGUGGUGAAAAAAAAAAAUUAAAAAAUCUUUCGGGAAAUGAGUUUACUCCCUGGGUACUUUCUUUGUAAACAUUCGACUAUAC